CAAGAGGAGCAUCCAAUCCAAACCCAACAGUCUUUCUUUUCCCAUUCUCGUCUCUUCCUUCCCCAUCAUCAUCUUCCCUUCCCCAGCCAGCAGCCUCCCUCAGCCUGCCUUUCUUUAAGCACUAUUUACUUAAUUCAAAAACAUUCUCUCAUUUCAAAAAGAUUUGAUGCCUUUGCUUUGCCCUCGUCAUCCUAUUCAAAACCUUCCUCUUCCUCUUCCUCUUUCUUCCUGGAGAGAGUAGAACGACGGACAGUGUACUAGAAUCUCGUAAGUUUGUCUCCUUGAGUUGAGGGGAUUGCUGAUCUGUCUGUUGGGUCAAUCAAUCGAGGGUUAAUCCAUCAACCAGCCGAUCAGUCAUGCCUUCAGGUGCCAAGAAGAGGAAAGCCAACAAGAAGAAGAAGGCUCAGCAGCCCCAUCAGUCGUCCCAUGAGACUGAUGAUCCGAGGCAACAUGAAGAGAAGGACAGUGAUGGUGGUGAGGUGGAGGUUCUUUCCCCUGCAUCUCAGGGCGGCCACCGUGACCCCUUCCCUAAUGACGGGGCUGAGGAGUUCGAGGACCCUCCACCUGCCGGGUCGCAUGCCUCUGAGAGCAAGUCCUUCGAGAUGGAGGGCCCUGUUGACUCGGUUGGCGCCCCUAAGCUUUUAGGGCUCGAGGAGAAUGAGAAUGUCGAAAUUGUCAAGGAAGUGAAUUCUGAAGACAUUUCGGAGAGGAAAACUGUUGAUAUCGAGUGCGUUGAUGUUGAGGCUGUGGAGAUCGUGGCCAAUGGCGCCGAGGGAAAAGCCAAUGGUGUCAGCUUGGAUAAUGGGUCUCAGGUUUUUGAGGAGAAGAAGGUAGAGAUGGAAGAAGUGGAAGCUGUGGCUUUGGAAGCAUCCAAUACUAAUGAUUUCGUGAAGCAAAUCGAUUCUCUGCCUGAAGCAUCCAAUACCAAUGAUUUCGUGAAGCAAAUCGAUUCUCUGCCUGAAGAGCCAGUUCAGAUUGUUGAGAACACCCUUGUUGUUGAUUCCAUUGAACCGGUGCCAUCUGCGUUCGAAUCUGAGAAUGUUAUUCAUGUGACUAAAGCUUUGGUAGAAGAGACUCCAGCAGGCUCUGCUUCCACAUUGAAGGAUCAACACGAGAAAUUGAGGCCAGAAAUAGAUGAGCUUCCGCAAGUUUCGGAGACCGUGCCAGAAGCUUCAUCAGUGAAGGUCCACGAAACAGCGGUUGAUGCGACUGAUGAAAUUGCUGGGAAAUCAUCCUGUGAUGAAAAGGAGGGCAAAUUGUUGGUGAGUCCAGCAACGAAGGCCAAGGAAACUGUGGCUGUCGUGACCGAUGAAAUUGCUGGGAAAUCAUCCAGUGAUAAAAAGGAAGGAAAGUUGUUGGUGAGUCCUGCAACAAAUGUCGUGACCGAUGGAAAUGCUGGGAAAUUGUCCAGUGAUGAAAAGGAGGGCAAGUUGUCAGCAAGUCCAGAAGCUCCAAUUGCUCAAGCUCGUGAUGUGGUCGAGGCUGCCAAGGAGGCUGAGAGACCUCAGCCCUCAGAGAACCAGACUCCGAUGGCACCGGCACCAAGAGUUUCUCAAAAAACUUCUUUGUUAAGUUGCUGUGGGAUACUUGAUGUGAUAAUGGGUUCCUCGAGAUAAUUUCAGGGUGAUUCAUCAGAAGGCAAAAGUUGCCAUGCCUCUGUAUAUACACAAACGCAUAAUAUCGCAAAAGUGGAAAGUUUUUCUGGGAAGGGAGCAGGACAGUGACAAAGUUAGAAGAGCAGUGAUGCUUUAGAAUCCUAGGGAGGAAGGAUUUGGAUCAGAGUUUAUGGAAUUCCUGGUUCGGCGUCUUUCGAUGUUCCUUUUAGUGAUACUAUAAUGAUGGAAAAGGACCACGAGUAGGCAGAACAACAGACUUGUGUUCCAAAUAGUGCUGGACUUUCGUGGGCAGUAGUAGUGAGCUAUUUUUGUAAUUCCAUUGUUGUGGCUUUCACAGUUAGCGUCUUAUACGAGUCAUCUUCAGAACAUAUUCGUUCCCGCUUCGUUUAGGUGCAUGACUAUAUAAGUUUCUAUUCAAUGUGGUUGAUACUUUUUUGGUCUGAGUAAUGCAGAUUUGUGUCGGAUCGCA